CAGUCGCCGCGGGAAUACGUAGGGUGCAAGCGUUAAUCGGAAUUACUGGGCGUAAAGCGUGCGCAGGCGGUGUUGUAAGACUGAUGUGAAAUCCCCGGGCUCAACCUGGGAACUGCAUUGGUGACUGCAACGCUGGAGUGCGGCAGAGGGGGAUGGAAUUCCGCGUGUAGCAGUGAAAUGCGUAGAUAUGCGGAGGAACACCGAUAGCGAAGGCAAUCCCCUGGGCCUGCACUGACGCUCAUGCACGAAAGCGUGGGGAGCAAACAGGAUUAGAUACCCGCGUAGUCUCUGUCUCUUAUAC
rnacentral:rRNA from 1 species